rnacentral:rRNA from 1 species
AGUGAACGCUGGCGGUAGGCCUAACACAUGCAAGUCGAACGGCAGCACAGUAAGAGCUUGCUCUUACGGGUGGCGAGUGGCGGUCGGGUGAGGAAUACAUCGGAAUCUACUUUUUCGUGGGGGAUAACGUAGGGAAACUUACGCUAAUACCGCAUACGACCUACUGGUGAAAGCAGGGGAUCUUCGGACCUUGCGCGAUUGAAUGAGCCGAUGUCGGAUUAGCUAGUUGGCGGGGUAAAGGCCCACCAAGGCGACGAUCCGUAGCUGGUCUGAGAGGAUGAUCAGGCACACUGGAACUGAGAAACGGUCCAGACUAAUACGGGAGGCAGCAGUGGGGAAUAUUAGACAAUGGGCGCAAGCCUGAUCCAGCCAUACCGCGUGGGUGAAGAAGGCCUUCGGGUUGUAAAGCCCUUUUGUUGGGAAAGAAAAGCAGCAGGUUAAUACCCCGCUGUUCUGACGGUACCCAAAGAAUAAGCACCGGCUAACUUCGUG